CUCCACCGAAGCUUCUUGCCUGCGCUGCUGCUCCCCCGGGGUCUGGCCUGACCCUAAACCCGGGCUUAGCCACGCCCCCUUCCCGUCCCGCCCCCUCUCCGGGCCAAUCGGGACCGGCGGCCCGGGCGGGGCCGAAGUCGGGGCGGGGCCUCGCCCUCCCACUACCCACGGCGGCGCCUGCGGCUCCGGAAACGCGCCGCUGGGCUGCUAGGCUCAGCAGUGCGCUAGCUGCUCCGUGGCGCUUCCUGCCACGCGAGGCCUGGGCCUCGCCAGCGCUGCUCCGUCAAGGGCCGCGCGUCGGCCGCCGCCAGGCUAGGAAUGGAUGGAAAGACAGAUUGUUCCUGGGAAUUCUUUCAGGAUUCAGUGACGUUUGGUAAUGUGGCACAAUACCUCAUCAAGCGGAGUGAUUGAAGCUGGACCCUGAGCAGAGGACCUCAGCAUAUUGAAGAAACGUGAUAUCUGUGGGUAAGGAUGACCCCAGCCCUUCCACAAGAUUUGCCACCAGCUUCGUGGUCCCACGGAGCUGGGAGUGGGAUAAGGGACACCUGACAGUCUAGUCCCACACAGGCCCAACUUCCAGCUUAUGCUCCUGGGAAUAGGCUGUAAGGAAAUACAGAGGGUCUGCUACACACAACCUGUCAAAGUAGCGGUAUCCCUCCCAACUCAUAACGGCUUAUAAAGUUAGAACAAACUGGCCACCAUAAUGAAAUACUUUUUAACCCACAAAUUAUGUAAAUUGUAUGGGAACUUUAUUGUAGUUUACUGUUGUUUUUUUUAAUUUUAUUUUAUUUUUAAACUUUACAUAAUUGUAUUAGUUUUGCCAAAUAUCAUAAUGAAUCCACCACAGGUAUAUAUGUGUUGAGAGAGGCUGACAUGGCAAGCUCC
rnacentral:lncRNA from 1 species